rnacentral:rRNA from 1 species
AGAGUUUGAUCAUGGCUCAGGACGAACGCUGGCGGCGGGCCUAACACAUGCAAGUCGAACGCACUCGACCUUCGGGUCACAUGAGUGAGUGGCGAACGGGUGAGUAACACGUGAGAAACCUGCCCCGAAGACUGGAAUAACCCGAGGAAACUCGGGCUAAUACCGGAUAUCCCCACCAGGUCGCAUGGCCAGGUGAGGAAAUGCUCAGGCGCUUCGGGAGGGUCUCGCGGCCUAUCAGCUAGUUGGUGAGGUAACGGCUCACCAAGGCAACGACGGGUAGCUGGUCUGAGAGGACGAUCAGCCACACUGGGACUGAGACACGGCCCAGACUCCUACGGGAGGCAGCAGUGGGGAAUCUUGCGCAAUGGGCGAAAGCCUGACGCAGCCACGCCGCGUGAGGGAUGAAGGCUUUCGGGUUGUAAACCUCUUUCAGCAGGGACGAAAAUGACGGUACCUGCAGAA